UAUAUAUAUAUACUAGAUUUUAACUCGCAGUACACCAUAUG
rnacentral:sRNA from 1 species